GAUUGACACUGGUGAUCGGUCAAGGAAGCACGUUCGAGCUUGCUUCUCUAGGUGCGACACGCUCUGAACGAGCUCUGUGAAUCAAUCACAUCCAUUAAAAUACUUAUUUCUCAUUCUGAGGAGAUGUGACUUUCUUUUCUAAAAGUUCCUAUCUUUAAGGGUCUUGGGCAUCAUGUUUGUACAAGAUUUUUCAUCACAAAUAUUCUGAUAUUGUGUCAUGUCUCAGGUUUCCCAAACUAAGGUUCGCUUACAUGUAGAAUGAGUUGCAUUCUUAGAUGGUGCCAUGAGUUACCUUUAGGCCUGCAAACAAGUGCGGUAGAAAUAAUAACAGCAAGUAUGAGGCACUGUUAUGUUAAGCAUGCAGAAGGGUAUGCAUGUAAUAUCCUGAUGUAUAUAUAGAUAUAUGGGUUGUCGCUAACAUGCCUCUAAAUACAGGUA